GAUGAACGCUGGCGGCGUGCUUAACACAUGCAAGUCGAACGAAGCAUUUAGAACAGAUUACUUCGGUUUGAAGUUCUUUAUGACUGAGUGGCGGACGGGUGAGUAACGCGUGGGUAACCUGCCUUGUACUGGGGGAUAGCAGCUGGAAACGGCUGGUAAUACCGCAUAAGCGCACAAGGUUGCAUGACAUGGUGUGAAAAACUCCGGUGGUAUAAGAUGGACCCGCGUCUGAUUAGCUAGUUGGUGAGAUAACAGCCCACCAAGGCGACGAUCAGUAGCCGAGCUGGGAGGGUGACCCGCCACAUUGGGACUAAGACACGGCCCAGACUCCUACGGAAGGCAGCAGAGGGGAAUAUUGCACAAUGGAGGAAACUCUGAUGCAGCGACGCCGCGUGAGUGAAGAAGUAAUUCGUGAUGUGAAGCUCUAUCAGCAGGGAAGAUAGUGACGGUACCUGACGAAGAAGCACCGGCUAAAUACGUG
rnacentral:rRNA from 1 species